UAGAGAGAAAUGCACGGCUGUUGGGCGAUACUGCCGCAUCUGGGUUAGCUGGUCACGAAACUCUCAGUAGCCGUGGUUUUGACGUUCAUCCCCAAGGCGGAGAAGAGUUGCCUCCACAGUACACAUUUCCAGAGAAAUAGCACGGUGCCGAAUUAUAUGCGGGGAGACAGAAAGGUAAUAGGGCCCGUCUAAUUCUAAAUUGCUUAUGCUUGCAGCUUUUAUGUUUAGGAAAUAUUGUAAUACCAAAGGAGUAAUAUGGACCAAAGAAUUGAAAGGCAUGUGCCACCAUUUCCAUCAAGGCGUGAAAGGCUGAAGCGUGCGUAAAAGCACGUGGAGGGCCGCACCGUAGCGAAUUGCAAAACGCCCGGAUGACCUGUGGUUAGUGGUGAAAUGCUAAUCGAACUCAGAGAUAGCUGGUUCUCCUCGAAAUAGCUUUAGGGCUAGCGUCGUACGGUAACACGCAGGGGUAGAGCUCUGUUUUGGACUAGGGUCCGUAAGGAUACCUACCCUUGACAAACUACGAAUACUGCGUGCGGAACUACGGCAGUUAGAACGGCGGGGCUAAGCUCGUCGCUCAAAAGGGAAACAGCCCAGACCAUCAUCUAAGGUCCCCAAAUAUAUGCUCAGUGGGAAACGAGGUGAGAUUUCUCAGACAAUAAGGAUGUUGGCUUAGAAGCAGCCAUUCAUUUAAAGAGUGCGUAACAGCUCACUUAUCGAGAGAUCUUGCGCGGAAAAUGUAACGGGGCUAAAGCAUAUUACCGAAGAUAUGGAUGCUGUGUGUGGCACAGAAUGCUCAAUUAACAAUGCUCAUUGCUCGAUGAAUGUAUAAAUGCAGAAAAUGCAGCAAUCAUUGACCAUUGACCAUUGAAACUUGAACAUUGAACAUUGAACAUUGCGUGCUACGCAUGGUGUGGUAGAGGAGCGUUGAUAUUGCAUCGAAGUCGAACUGUAAAGUUUGGUGGAGCGGUAUCAAGUGAGAAUGCUGGAAUGAGUAACCUCAAGGAGGGUGAGAAUCCCUCCCACCGAAAGAGCAAGGUUUCCUGGGCCAUGAUAAUCAUCCCAGGGUUAGUCGGUCCUAAGCCGAGGCGAAAGUAGCGUAGGCGAUGGACAACGGGUUAAUAUUCCCGUACCGGCGUGUACUUGUUUGUAGAUGCGCGGCAUGAUAACAAAAGCGGAUUCAUGGUUAUAUCCGUCUAACUGGUCUAACGGGCCAGGAAUGAAACGUACCCUUCGGGGCGCGAAUUUUUGUGAAAGUACUGACCAGAAAAGUUUACAAGCUUAUGGUACAAGUUGACCGUACCGCAAACCGACACAGGUGCUUAAGGGCGAGUAGCCCA
rnacentral:ncRNA from 1 species